rnacentral:ncRNA from 1 species
GGUUCGGUUAAAAGAUUAAGCUAUACAUGAGGAGUUCAGCUUCAAGUGAAACUGCGAACGGCUCAUUAGAGCAGAUGUGAUUUAUUCGGAAAAUCCUAUUGGAUAACUGCGGUAAUUCUGGAGCUAAUACAUGUGUGUAAACCUUGACUUUCGAAAGGGUGCAAUUAUUAGGGCAAGUCAAUCAUUUUCGGAUGUAGUUUGCUGACUCUGAAUAACGCAGCAUAUCGGCGGCUUGUUCGCCGAUAAUCCGAAAAAGUGUCUGCCCUAUCAACCUGAUGGUAGUCUAUUAGUCUACCAUGGUUAUUACGGGUAACGGAGAAUAAGGGUUGGACUCCGGAGAGGGAGCCUUAGAAACGGCUACCACAUCCAAGGAAGGCAGCAGGCGCGAAACUUAUCCAAUCUUGAAUAGAUGAGAUAGUGACUAAAAAUAAAAAGACCAUUCCUAUGGAACGGUUAUUUCAACGAGUUCGAGGGGUAUUACGCACAAAUGGGAAGGUUGACACUGGGACAACUGCUGGAGCCACCGAAUUCAUUUUUAAGGCAGAAGCACCAGUAACC